rfam:Schistosoma mattheei strain Denwood, Zambia genome assembly, scaffold: SMTD_scaffold0008833
GCACUGCUGAAGAGUCCCAUAACAGGAAGAAACGGUCGUCCAGUGC